rnacentral:lncRNA from 1 species
AAAGAGCGUGGGGCGUGGUUAAGGAAGCCAAGAUAGCAAGCUCUGUCUACAAGUGUACCUGCUACAGCCUGCUUAAGAGCCUGCCCUGCCCAUACAGCGAGCUUGCUACCUGUCCAUCAACCCACAAAAGGACGAGGCUCUAGAGACUGAGAAGGUGCAGUACACCCUUCCAGACGGCAGCACGCUCGAUGUAAGUAGACAGGUCUGACUCCACGAUGGUAGCUAAUGCCAACAGUGGGACAGUGGGGGCGGAAAGGACCUGCUUCCCUGGAGAUCCUGUGCCUCAGGCGUGUUCUCCACAGGUGGGGCCUGCACGCUUCCGAGCCCCUGAGCUGCUGUUCCAGCCAGACCUGGUUGGGGAUGAGAGUGAGGGACUCCAUGAAGUUUUGGCCUUCGCCAUCCACAAGUCGGACAUGGACCU